rnacentral:rRNA from 1 species
UACGUAGGUGGCAAGCGUUGUCCGGAUUUACUGGGCGUAAAGGAUGUGUAGGCGGAUACUUAAGUGAGAUGUGAAAAGCCCCCGGGCGUCAACCUACGGGGACGUGCAUUUCUAAACUAGGGUAGUCUAGAGUGCAGGAGAGGAAAGACGGAAUUACCUACGUGUAGCGGUGAAAUAGCGUAGAGAUUAGGUAAGAACAUCAGUGGCGAAGG